AUUGCUUCUCGGCCUUUUGGCUAAGAUCAAGUGUAGUAUCUGUUCUUAUCAGUUCAAUAUAAAGACGUGGACUAGAAUUAUAAGCACUGUAAUAAAAUAGAAAACACCAGGAAAUCACUCCAAAUUUGAUUGAGCAGGGUUUGGUGACAUUGCAUUUCAGUUGUUUAUAGCAUGAAUGAAC
rnacentral:snRNA from 1 species